rnacentral:snRNA from 1 species
GUCUCGGAUAUUAAAUCCGG